UACGUAGGGUGCAAGCGUUGUUCGGAAUCAUUGGGCGUAAAGCGCGUGUAGGUGGCUAGUAAAGUCGGGUGUGAAAGCCCUGAGCUCAACUCAGGAAGUGCAUUCGAAACUGGCUGGCUAGAGGAUGGUAGAGGAAGGUGGAAUUCCAAGUGUAGAGGUGAAAUUCGUAGAUAUUUGGAGGAAUACCGGCGGCGAAGGCGGCCUUCUGGGCCAUUCCUGACACUGAGACGCGAAAGCGUGGGGAGCAAAC
rnacentral:rRNA from 1 species